GACAGAGGGUGCAACCGUUGCUCGGAAUUACUGGGCGUAAAGCGCGUGUAGGUGGAUUGGUGUGUCAGAUGUGAAAUCCCUGGGCUCAACCCAGGAACUGCACCUGAAACUACCAGUCUUGAGUGGUGGAGAGGGAAGUGGAAUUCCUGGUGUAGAGGUGAAAUUCGUAGAUAUCAGGAGGAACACCAUUGGCGAAGGCGGCUUCCUGGACACCAACUGACGCUGAGACGCGAAAGCGUGGGGAGCAAACAGG
rnacentral:rRNA from 1 species